rnacentral:rRNA from 1 species
CCUACGGGAGGCAGCAGUGGGGAAUAUUGGACAAUGGGGGGAACCCUGAUCCAGCCAUGCCGCGUGUGUGAAGAAGGCCCUCGGGUUGUAAAGCACUUUCAGUGAGGAAGAACGCCUGGUGGUUAAUACCCAUCAGGAAAGACAUCACUCACAGAAGAAGCACCGGCUAACUCCGUGCCAGCAGCCGCGGUAAUACGGAGGGUGCGAGCGUUAAUCGGAAUUACUGGGCGUAAAGCGCGCGUAGGUGGCUUGAUAAGCCGGUUGUGAAAGCCCCGGGCUCAACCUGGGAACGGCAUCCGGAACUGUCAAGCUAGAGGGCAGGAGAGGAAGGUAGAAUUCCCGGUGUAGCGGUGAAAUGCGUAGAGAUCGGGAGGAAUACCAGUGGCGAAGGCGGCCUUCUGGACUGACACUGACACUGAGGUGCGAAAGCGUGGGUAGCAAACAGGAUUAGAUACCCGAGUAGUC